rnacentral:rRNA from 1 species
AUUGAACGCUGGCGGCGUGCUUAACACAUGCAAGUCGAACGGUGAACGAGGGAGCUUGCUCCCUCCGGAUCAGUGGCGAACGGGUGAGUAACACGUGAGCAAUCUGCCCCGAACUCUGGGAUAAGCGCUGGAAACGGCGUCUAAUACCGGAUACGACGCGCGAAGGCAUCUUCUGCGCGUGGAAAGAAUUUCGGUUCGGGAUGAGCUCGCGGCCUAUCAGCUAGUUGGUGAGGUAACGGCUCACCAAGGCGACGACGGGUAGCCGGCCUGAGGUGGUGACCGGCAAUCUACGGCCUGCGCCGCGGCCCGGAGUCAUACGGGAGGCAGCAGUGGGGAAUAUUGCACAAUGGGCGCAAGCCUGAUGCGGCAACGCCGCGUGAGGGACGACGGCCUUCGGGUUGUAAACCUCUUUUAGUAGGGAAGAAGCGAAAGUGACGGUACCUGCAGAAAAAGCACCGGCUAACUACGUGCCAGCCGCCGCUGUAACAC